rnacentral:rRNA from 1 species
UCCUCCCUCUUUCUUCGUGCUUAACACAUGCAAGUCGAACGGAAAGGCCUUUUCGGAGGUACUCGAGUGGCGAACGGGUGAGUAACACGUGGGUGAUCUGCCCUGCACUCUGGGAUAAGCCUGGGAAACUGGGUCUAAUACCGGAUAGGACCGCACUUUAGUGUGUGUGGUGGAAAGUUUUUUCGGUGUAGGAUGAGCCCGCGGCCUAUCAGCUUGUUGGUGGGGUAAUGGCCUACCAAGGCGGCGACGGGUAGCCGGAUUGAGAGGUUGGUCGGCCACAUUGGGACUGAGAUACGGCCCAGACUCCUACGGGAGGCAGCAGUGGGGAAUAUUGCACAAUGGGCGCAAGCCUGAUGCAGCGACGCCGCGUGGGGGAUGACGGCCUUCGGGUUGUAAACUCCUUUCGCCAGGGACGAAGCGUUUUGUGACGGUACCUGGAGAAGAAGCACCGGCUAACUACGUG